UACGGAGGGUGCAAGCGUUGUCCGGAUUUAUUGGGUUUAAAGGGUGCGUAGGCGGCCCUGUAAGUCAGUGGUGAAAUACUGCAGCUUAACUGUAGCAUUGCCAUUGAUACUGUAGGGCUUGAGUACAGAUGAGGUAGGCGGAAUUGAUGGUGUAGCGGUGAAAUGCAUAGAUACCAUCAAGAACACCGAUUGCGAAGGCAGCUUACUAAGCUGUAACUACGCUGAGGCACGAAAGCGUGGGGAUCGAACAGG
rnacentral:rRNA from 1 species